rnacentral:rRNA from 1 species
GACGAACCGUGCGAACGUUGUUCGGAAUCACUGGGCUUAAAGGGCGCGUAGGCGGGCCGGACGGUCCGCGGUGAAAUCCCCCCGCUCAACGGGGGAACGGCCGCGGAUACCGCCGGCCUCGAGGGGGUAGGGGCGAGCGGAACGCUGGGUGGAGCGGUGAAAUGCGUUGAUAUCCAGCGGAACUCCGGUGGCGAAGGCGGCUCGCUGGACCCCACUGACGCUGAGGCGCGAAGGCCAGGGGAGCGAACGGG